GACGAACGCUGGCGGCGUGCUUAACACAUGCAAGUCGAGCGAGUGGAUUCCCUUCGGGGAUGAAGCUAGCGGCGGACGGGUGAGUAACACGUGGGCAACCUGCCUUAUAGAGGGGGAUAGCCUUCCGAAAGGAAGAUUAAUACCGCAUAACAUCAGAUUAUCGCAGGGUAGACUGAUCAAAGGAGCAAUCCGCUAGAGGAUGGGCCCGCGUCGCAUUAGCGAGUUGGUGAGGUAACGGCUCACCAAGGCGACGAAGCGUAGCCGACCUGCGAGGGUGAUCGGCCACAUCGGGACUGAGACACGGCCCAGACUCCUACGGGAGGCAGCAGUGGGGAAUAUUGCACAAUGGGGGAAACCCUGAUGCAGCAACGCCGCGUGAGUGAUGAAGGCCUUCGGGUUGUAAAGCUCUUUGAUCAGGAACGAUAAUGACGGUACCUGAAGAACAAGCCACGGCUAACUACGUGCCAGCAGCCGCCGUAAGAC
rnacentral:rRNA from 1 species